GUGGCGCAGUGGGAAGUGCAAAAGCUUGGUCUGAGUCAGUAUGCUGAGCGAGAGGCUGGUGGUUACAGUGGAGGAAACAAGCGCAAACUCUCCACUGCCAUUUCUCUCAUUGGAGCUGCACAUGUCAUCUUCUUGCUAUAUUUGUACCAUCACACUUAAGAGGUAGUUUUACUAAAUCUUACUGACUUGGAGCUGUUAUAUAACCUGACUGUAAAUGGUGUUUUUCCACUCUCAUCUGUGAUUUUCAGGAUGAGCCAACAACUGGGAUGGACCCAAAGGCCAAGCGCUUCCUUUGGAACUGCAUCCUUAGUGUGAUCAAAGAGGGAUGAUCUGUCAUUCUCACCUCCCACAGGUGUUUGUUAACUUUGCUAAAGAGCAGACAGAUGAUGAUCAGCUCAGGGAGGUCAGGGUAAACGGUGGAGGAUCUGUGGCAAUUCAAGUCAACAGACCCCAUCGGCCCACGGACAUCAAACUUGAGAAAUCCAGCAGGUCUUCCACACCACGCUCUACUUCAGUGCCUUCUACAGAUAAAGCUACUCGCUCAAUACAGACCCCGGAGCCUUCAUUUAGUGGUUCAAAAACCAAAUCAAACAGUAAAUCAAACAGUCUGUCAAUAUCAAAACAGUAACAGCGGAUCCGGAUGGAACCUGUUGGUGAGAAAAAAACAAAACAGUCAGUAUUGUUUAUUGUCAGUACCAAAACGCAGGAAAGCAAAGUGUAAAAAUAGGAAGAGGUUUGGAACUGAAGCAGUCGUGAUGUGGAUCACCAGUGAGUCAUUUUUCUUAAAUAUCUGGUGCCUUGUUUACUUGUUUUUUUUUUUCCAAAAUUGAAUGUAAUUAUUUUAAAAGCAAUCAAUUAAUCAUUCAGAUUGGCUCUCCUGGUAAUUCUGCAAUUCCUCAUUGAUAGUAUUUCUAGUUCUUACUCUGAAACUUCAAGAUAAUGCAUGGCAUCAUGUAUGUGUUUUGGCAGGAAAACUUUUUCCCAGACCUCUUUAUAAAUUAUGCACAUUUUCAUGAUGUCAGUUGCACUUCCGUAUAAUAUUUGCUUUGUGCAAACCAAUUUAGAUAUGAUUUUUCUGAAUUUGUUACAUUAUAACAAACCUCUUUAUUUCUACAUGUAUGUAGAGGACAAAUGUGCAGUGCAGAGAUGGUAUGGGACACAAAAACUGCCUUCAUGUGUUUUUAUUUAUUUCCUGAUUUUUUAAAUGGUUUUAGGUUUAUUUCUCUCUCUCUCUCUCUCUCUCUCUCUCUCUCUCUGAUGCACUUUAGCUUAAAACAAUUCUAAUAUUGUAGUCUGGAUUAUCACUCUAUGUCUUCACUGCAGUGAUUGUUACAAUGCUUAAUAUGUACCUCUUUUUUAUGUUGUAUUUAUUGUAUGUACAUACCGGAGAUAUUAUGUAUGAAAUGACUGAAAUUAAGUUUGUAAUCUUCUUUAUGUGCAUGAUGCUAAAAUGCUGGGAUAUUUAUACGCAAAUCUAUGUAUUAAUAAAUAUCUGGGUACUCUGCA
ensembl:lncRNA